rnacentral:rRNA from 1 species
UACAGAGGGUGCAAGCGUUGUUCGGAAUUAUUGGGCGUAAAGGGCGCGUAGGCGGUGCGGUAAGUCUGUAGUGAAAUCUCUGGGCUCAACUCAGAGUCUGCUAUAGAAACUGCCGUGCUUGAGUGUGGGAGAGGUGAGUGGAAUUCCCGGUGUAGCGGUGAAAUGCGUAGAUAUUCGCAAGAACACCAGCGGCGAAGGCGGCUCACUGGCCCAUAACUGACGCUGAGGCACGAAAGCUAGGGGGAGCAAACAGG